CAGUCGCCGCGGGAAUACAGAGGGUGCGAGCGUUAAUCGGAUUUACUGGGCGUAAAGCGUGCGUAGGCGGCUAAUUGAGUCGGAUGUGAAAUCCCCGAGCUUAACUUUGGAAUUGCAUUCGAUACUGGUUAGCUAGAGUGUGGGAGAGGAUGGUAGAAUUCCAGGUGUAGCGGUGAAAUGCGUAGAGAUCUGGAGGAAUACCGAUGGCGAAGGCAGCCAUCUGGCCUAACACUGACGCUGAGGUACGAAAGCAUGGGGAGCAAACAGGAUUAGAUACCCCCGUAGUCCCUGUCUCUUAUAC
rnacentral:rRNA from 1 species